rnacentral:rRNA from 1 species
UACGGGAGGCAGCAGUGGGGAAUUUUCCGCAAUGGGCGAAAGCCUGACGGAGCAAUACCGCGCGAGGGAUGACGGCCUAUGGGUUGUAAACCUCUUUUUUCAGGGAGGAAUUAAUGACGUGUACCUGAAGAAUAAGCAUCGGCUAACUCCGUGCCAGCAGCCGCGGUAAGACGGGGGAUGCAAGUGUUAUCCGGAAUCACUGGGCGUAAAGCGUCUGUAGGUGGUUUGAUAAGUCAACUGUUAAAUCUUGAGGCUUAACCUCAAAAUCGCAGUCGAAACUAUUAGACUAGAGUAUAGUAGGGGUAAAGGGAAUUUCCAGUGGAGCGGUGAAAUGCGUAGAUAUUGGAAGGAACACCGAUGGCGAAGGCACUUUACUGGGCUAUUACUAACACUCAGAGACGAAAGCUAGGGUAGCAAAUGGGAUUAGAUACCCCAGUAGUCCUAGCUGUAAACCAUGGAUACUAGAUGUUGAACAGAUCGACCUGUGCAGUAUCAAAGCUAACGCGUUAAGUAUCCCGCCUGGGAAGUAUGCUCGCAAGAGUGAAACUCAAAGGAAUUGACGGAAGGG